AAAUGUAUAUCUAUUUAUGUAAGAAUAAAUCAUGUUUGGUUUCUCCAACAGGAGAGGAGGAUGAAUAUGACAGAAAGACAGGUUCUUCUGGGACAGAAUAUGAUGACAUUGAGGGACAAGCCAAUGGAAUCUCUCCUUCUCAAACCCACCAUGAUGAUGACCUCAACCUCCCUCUCCUUCCCAAGAGACCCGAGAACAUUCUUGAUCAGGACACCUAUGAAUUGGAGAUAGAGAAACAGGAGGACUAUGAUGAUGUCGAGGCUGCAGCCAAUGAAAAUGCAGGGACGAUAUGCACACAAGCACAUGUAGAUGUAGACGUGGAUGAAGGUGCAGAUUCAGAUUUAGAUGCAGGUCUAGUUGCAAAUGCAGAUGCGGUAUUGGUGACCACAGAGGUAGAAGUUCACGCUCCAGCAGAGUAAUGAAGCAGCCAACGUGAGCAAAUUGUUCUUUUAAGUUAAUAUUAAUAAGAUUGUAUGUUCUUAUAUCAGUAGAAUAUUGGGAAGAAAAUAUGGAUGAACAAAUGCUGUUUAAUGAUGCUAGCUCUCAAGAUGUAUAAAAGAAGGGACACAUUUGGAAUAACAAAAUCUUUAAUUAUCGUCACAACAGCGUAUGAACUGAUGGAAAGAGCUAAUUUUUGUGCCGACAAACCAGUCAAACGUUUUGUCAUUCUUUAGGUUUUGAUGUGUAGUUUUGAUCUGUGUGCUUUUAGUCUGUUAAAGCUUAUGAGCAGGCCCACAUGAACUCAGAAAACCUUGAAAUUAAAAUGUAAUAACAGGUUAUCGCUAUCUUGUUCAUUUGAUUUGGUAAUAUCUUUUAAAAAUUUACAAAAUCAAUGCUUUUAAAAUUUUCAAGACCAGGUUACGCAAUGUUAUCACAAACAGGAGGCCAAAGUUCACUUGGUUCACCCAACAAUUAAAAUUUGCUGAAAAUUUCCAACAUGAGUUUGGUCACUACAGGUUUGGAAAAAAAUGAGCAUGACGUCACUUCACCAAUGGAUCCUCUGCUGUGAAUGAGUGCUAUCAGAAUCCAAAAGUAAUCCACUCGACUCCAUCAAUUAAUGUCUUCUGAAGUGAAAAGAUUCGUGUUUAUAAAAAACAAAUCCAUCAAGAGAUUUUUAACUUCAAAUAUUGCUUCAGACAAAAAUACAAGUCCAUAAUCUACUAACAUAUUUAAACUGUUUUGGACUUUUUUUUUUUGUCUUCUGAUUCAGAUGACAUGACUUUUUAGAGGACUUGUAUUUUAGCUGGAAGCAGCAGUUUGAAGUUAAAAACUUCUCCAUGGGUUUGUUUCUUGGUUUCUGGACUGGAGUCAUGUGGAUUAAUUGUGGGUCAUUGUGAUGUUCUUAUCAGCUGUUUGGACUCUCAUUCUGACGGCACACGUUCACGUUCAGAGGAUCCAUUGGUGAGCAAGUGAUAUAAUGCUACAUUUCUCCAGAUCUGUUCCCAUUAAGAAACAAACUCAUCUACAUCUUGGAUGGCAUGAGAGUGAGUACAUUUUCAGCAAAUUUUAAUUUUGGGGUGAACUAUUUCUAUAAUACACAAUGUAUAUAUCAGAUAAAUGUUCAACUGUCCAUUUAGUUUCCAUUCAUUUUCUGGAUCAAUAAUAAGGCCAAUGUUAGCAUGUAGAAAUAUAUUUAGUUAUUUAGUUGAAAAAAGCGCGAACUCAUUCGGGAGUGGUGACUUUCCACGUAUUCCCAACUUCUGAGCCUGCUCGCCUGAAGUUAUGGUUGAUUGCUCUUCGGCUGGAUAUCAACACACCCAUUAAUGUAAACUACGCCAGAGGGCGUACACACCUCACGCAUCGGAUGCCGUGCGCGCGCUCAAGGAAGUUGGACAUAGUGGUGUAUUAGAGGUAAAAAAUGAUAUAAAUACUGUUCGGUUUCUUGCACAAACCGAUCGUUUCAUGUCUUAGGACAUCAAUGUGUCGUCACGAGCCGCAGGGUUUAAUUUGGAUUUGUCUGUGCAUGUUUUUU
rnacentral:lncRNA from 1 species